AGGGGUUUAGGAUAAAAAGUCCAAGAGCCUUCAAAGCCCUCAGCGAGAGUUAAAAAUCUCCCAACCCCUG
rnacentral:tRNA from 1 species